UGGCGAGGCUGGCAAGCGAAAAUAUUGGCCAUGGAGAAAAGAAAUAAAAAAAAUAAGGAAUGUAUCAACAGUAGCAUUUCUUUAGGAGGCGGCAAAAAAGAAGACGUGCAACGCUUUUAUUGAACUUCAGUUGGAUCAAAUACAUCAAAAACUCUAGAAGAAUUCUCAAGGAUAAACAAGUGCAUUUUAAAUGG